rnacentral:rRNA from 1 species
UACGAAGGGGGCUAGCGUUGCUCGGAAUCACUGGGCAUAAAGGGUGCGUAGGCGGGUCUUUAAGUCAGGGGUGAAAUCCUGGAGCUCAACUCCAGAACUGCCUUUGAUACUGAAGAUCUUGAGUUCGGGAGAGGUGAGUGGAACUGCGAGUGUAGAGGUGAAAUUCGUAGAUAUUCGCAAGAACACCAGUGGCGAAGGCGGCUCACUGGCCCGAUACUGACGCUGAGGCACGAAAGCGUGGGGAGCAAACAGG